GCGGCGCGGCUGGGGGAGCAGUCUCUGGGUGGGGGUGGGGCUCUGCUGGGCGGCCGCUCCCAUUCCCGUCCCCGCAGCUCGAGAGGUGAGCUCAGCCGGGUGUGGGGGAAGAGCCAGGGUGGUAUCCCGCACCCCAGCGCAAGGCGGAGCAGGGCCGACGGCCUGGGCAGCGCCAAUGGCCAGCGCGCGGGUCCGGGCAGGCUAGCGGGAAGGCGCCGCUCGCCGCGCCGGGUCACGUGGCGCGGUCACGUGGCGCGCAGCCGGACCGGCGGCGGCCGAGGGAGGCGGAGACUUGCCAGAGACGCGGGGGGAGGAGGCGGCGGCGCGGGGCUGCUGGAGGCGGAGGCGGAGAGGAGAGGAGAGCUGCGGGGCCGCUGCCACGGCCGCCCAGGAGAUUUGUAAGAUUCCAAGGCCUUCAAGCCAAGAUCAGCCUGAUGGUUCCUGAAAUAACUGGGAAAACAAAUGCUUCAAGUGCCAGUUGAAGAUUGUGUCUAUGUAUAUUCGAAACCUUCUUUCUAUAUAUACGCAUUUACAUGAGAAGACAGGCUCAUUCUUGUGCACAUUUGGGAGUUUUUCAACUGAUGAAAAUUAAUUUAAGAAUCAGAUGGAGCAACUUGACACUUCUGGGCGCAGGAGCCCAGGGAGAAAAGUAUAUCACUAAUGGCCAAUUUUCCAUAUGGCCUUCAUGGGUAAAGAGAAUUUGCAAAAAGAAGAAAAAAAUUUGCAUAGAUUAAGCCUCAAAAAUACCUCUCCAGUUUAAAGAAGGAAAUAAAUGAGAAGGUGAUCACAGAAGUGUGAAUUCAACAUUGCAGGAUAAUAUCUUAAAAUAGCAAUUGGAACCAAUAAUUACAAAAGUAAACAUCAAGGAAAACCCAAGCAAAGCUUCCUUUUGCCUGGAUGAAAGGCUGUGGAAACAAGCUCUGAAUGGGAACAAGAAGGUGCCCAUUGGCACAGUGACUCUAGGGAAAUGGUGCAAUCCUGGGGACUCUGAUACUAGCUUGGGUGUAUGGUUAGAGGGAUUGU
rnacentral:lncRNA from 1 species